UACGAAAAAAAUUUAUAAGUUUAGUGUGAAUUUUGGUGGUAAAAUGCAUAAAAAGUAUGGUUGAAGAUUUUGAAGUAACCGCCACAUACGAUUUAGUAAUACCGUUUGUUGAGUAGUGUUAACUGCAUGAUUUUUUUGCCUUGUGAAGAAAUAUGCUUCAAUUAAGUUGCAUUCGAGAAUUUGAAAACUGUAAUUCUAAAGUUUGGUUUGUCUGUUGGAAUCCUUCUGGGACGAUAUUAGCUUCCUGUGGUUCUGAUAAGAAAAUACGAUUAUGGGAAAAAAGUAUUAUAUUUUAUUUUAAUUGAAAGAAGAUUGAUGAAGAUGCUGAGCGAUAAUAUAGUUUCUCCUUCAGAUUCUCAAAAUGAAUUUCGGUGCAUACAAACUUUAGAAAAUGGACACAUAAGGACGAUUAGAAGUCUUGCUUGGUCUCCAUGUGGUAAAUAUUUAGCGUCAGCAAGUUUUGAUGCAACAACUUGUAUUUGGAGUGAAGCCAAAGAUUGGGAUUGUAUAGGUACCUUAGAAGGACAUGAAAAUGAAGUUAAAAGUGUUUCUUGGGCCGCCACUGGGAAAUACCUUGCAACAUGCAGCAGAGACAAAAGCGUAUGGGUGUGGGAAUGUAAGAAACUUCAUUUCUUCGAAAAGCUUAUACAUAUUUCUUUAUUUCUCAGUUGAUGAUGAGGAAAACUUUGAAUGUGCUUCUGUGAUGAAUUCUCAUUCACAAGAUGUAAAAUGUAUAAAAUGGAAUCCAAAGUUUGAGAUAUUUGCCUCUAGCAGCUAUGACAAUAGUAUAAAGCUUUAUCGAAAAGGAGCCGAUGAUUGGCUACCAUUUUGUACUUUGGAAGGACACACUUCAACUGUAUGGUCCAUAUCCUGGUCAGGCGAUGGUAAAUAUUUGGUGUCCUGUAGUGACGACAGAAGCUUGAAAAUUUGGAAAGAAGUAGAACCUGAUAUCUGGACAUGUAUUUCCAACUUACCUCAAAGUCAUAGUCGACCAAUUUAUUGUGUUGAUUGGAAACAUAAAUCGCAACUAAUAUCAACUGCUUGCGGAGACGAUUCUGUAAAAGUUUUCAAAGUUCAGGAAUUUUCUAAUGAAAACGCCGAAUUAGUUUUAAAUUUGCAAAGCAAUCAAAUUCGGGCACAUGACGAAGAUGUCAAUUGUGUUGCAUGGCAUCCAAAUGAAGACUUGUUAGCGAGUUGUAGUGAUGAUGGAUCUAUAAAAUUAUGGAAAAUUAGCUAAUAAAUUCUCCCCUAAUUGCUAAUGAUUUCUAAAUAUUACUCGAUUGAUUUUAAAUAAUAGAUUUAUU
rnacentral:misc_RNA from 1 species